rnacentral:lncRNA from 7 species
CACAAGCCACUGGAGAGAGUAUUACACAAUGUUUUCAUUAUGUGGUUUUGCCUUAAUUGGAUUGGACAUCAGCAAAGAAGCUGUGGUUUUCAUAAUUUUUUUUUUCACCGAGACUGACCAGAACUGGCAAUUUAUGGCUCAUAGAGCUGAUGAUUUAGCACUUUCUGAGUUAGAUCUGGAGCCAAGUGCUGCAGUAAUUAUUCUGCAGCAAUUUCUAAUGGAUCUUCGAAAGCUCAGCCUAUGGCUGAGUGAGGCUCAGAGGCAGUGCAGAAAUGCAGAAGCGGAACCAACAAAAUGGAGGAAGUGGUCACUUGCAGUCUGAAUCGCAUUGUUGCUAUUCUUUUCCAAAGAGAGCUUGCAGGCUUCAAUGAAAGUGACUAAAGUUGCUCUCUUUUUUUUUUUUUUUUAACAGAAAUCAGAGCAAAACUAUUAUACAUGUGUGUAUAUAUGUUUGCUGGAAAGUUGCACUAAAAUCACUUGUAAUCCACCCCAUCUUGCUGCUUUUUCCAACAACUGAAGACAUUAUUUAACAGCCUGAUGAUCUAGCUAACCCAGAGAACUUGAAGAAGGCUUGACACGUGCAGCCAUUUGAGUACCAGUGCCAAGAGGAAGUGACAAAGCAGCUCCUAGGGCAAUAUGGAUCUCCAGCUGAUCAGCUAAGAUCUCCUUCUUCAGUGAUGCUCCCGUUCUCAUUUUCUUCAAACUCAGAUAUUCCAACAGGGAAGAGAAUGUUUUCACAGUCCGAGAAAUCAGAAUACCAAAAUAAACAGUAUUCAACUAAAUCUGGAAAAUCUCAGCUGAUUAACCGAUAUGCAUGUCUAUCUGUCUGUAUGUUUACAUAUAUAUAUAUAUAUAUAUAAACAAAAAGAAUGUGAAAUGGAAACCAGACAGAGUAGCAUGAUAUGAACCAUGUUGCUAGUUCUUUAGCUGGCUUCAGAACCUGUCUUCUUUAAUUUUCAGUUUCUGUAGUACUUUGGUAAUUCUCUAUGGUGUCCUUCGUGCUCAAUUAAUAUUUUACAAGCUGGCUUUGGUUCACAUAAAUCCGUACCUGAAUUCUGUUUGAAUUUAUCACCCCAUUUUCCCAGUGAGCAAUUUGUUUUGGUGCUUUUAUGUGCUGAAUUCUUGAAUACUUCACUAGAAUACAAAAUAAUACU